UGGCGGCGUGCUUAACACAUGCAAGUCGAACGGAGUGGCGAACGGGUGAGUAACACGUGGGUGAUCUGCCCUGUACUUCGGGAUAAGCUUGGGAAACUGGGUCUAAUACCGGAUAGUAUGGGAUGAGCUCGCGGCCUAUCAGCUUGUUGGUGGGGUAAUGGCCUACCAAGGCGUCGACGGGUAGCCGGCCUGAGAGGGUGUACGGCCACAUUGGGACUGAGAUACGGCCCAGACUCCUACGGGAGGCAGCAGUGGGGAAUAUUGCACAAUGGGCGCAAGCCUGAUGCAGCGACGCCGCGUGGGGGAUGACGGCCUUCGGGUUGUAAACUCCUUUCGCCAGGGACGCGGUACCUGGAUAAGAAGCACCGGCUAACUACGUGCCAGCAGCCGCGGUAAUACGUAGGGUGCGAGCGUUGUCCGGAAUUACUGGGCGUAAAGAGCUCGUAGGUGGUUUGUCGCGUCGUUUGUGUAAGUCCACGGCUUAACUGUGGGAUGGCAGGCGAUACGGGCAAACUUGAGUGCUGUAGGGGAGACUGGAAUUCCUGGUGUAGCGGUGAAAUGCGCAGAUAUC
rnacentral:rRNA from 1 species